CAGAGGGUGCGAGCGUUGUCCGGAAUCGACUGGGCGUAAAGGGCGCGUAGGUGGCGACCCAAGUCUGUGGUGAAAGCUCGAUGCUCAACAUCGAGUCGGCCACGGAGACUGGGUUGCUCGAGCACUGUAGAGGCAGAUGGAAUUCCGGGUGUAGCGGUGGAAUGCGUAGAGAUCCGGAAGAACACCGGUGGCGAAGGCGGUCUGCUGGGCAGUAGCUGACACUGAGGCGCGACAGCGUGGGGAGCAAACAGGAUUAGAUACCCUGGUAGUCCACGCCGUAAACGAUGGGCACUAGAUGCUUGGGGAGCGACCCCCUGAGUGUCGCCGCUAACGCAGUAAGUGCCCCGCCUGGGGAGUACGGCCGCAAGGCUG
rnacentral:rRNA from 1 species